rnacentral:rRNA from 1 species
ACAGGGCUUAAGUCUUGUAAUUGGAAUGAUGGUGCCUUAAACCCUCACCAGAGUACCAAUUGGAGGGCAAGUCUGGUGCCAGCAGCCGCGGUAAUUCCAGCUCCAAUAGCGUAUAUUAAACUUGUUGCAGUUAAAAAGCUCGUAGUUGAAUUUCAGCGUUUCCUUUUCUUUGCUUUGUCGCUUUGAUUUGGUUUCGCUUUUGUUUUUACUUUGAGAAAAUUAGAGUGUUUCAAGCAGACUUUUGUCUUGAAUACUUCAGCAUGGAAUAAUAGAGUAGGACCGUAGUCCUAUUUUGUUGGUUUUGUGGACUACUGUAAUGGUUAAUAGGAACGGUUGGGGGCAUUCGUAUUUGACUGUCAGAGG